GGUAGUAAUAUAAACCAAUGUGUACUGGCGGUCUUUAUUUAUUAGAGAAACUCGCUUUAUAAUCGUAAUUACCCGAUAAAUUUUCACUUUACUUACUCAGUCUAUAUACCGCCGUUUAGAGUUAAAUAAAAACCCACAAUAUAUCUUUAUAAAAAAUCAGGUCAAGGUGUAACUAAUAGAAAAGAAAAAGUAAGUUACAUUAAAUAUAAUUUAAGAACUAUAUAUAAAAAAUAAACACAAAAAAGAAUUUAAAUGUAUGUUAUAAUUAAAAAUUAAAACAGAAAUAAAUAUUAAAGAUGU
rnacentral:rRNA from 1 species